UACAGGGGGUGCAACGUUGCUCGGAAUCAUUGGGCGUAAAGCGCACGUAGGCGGUUUGUUAUGUCGGAUGUGAAAGCCCUUGGCUCAACUGAGGAAGUGCAUCCGAAACUGGCAGCUAGAGUACUAAAGAGGGUCGCGGAAUUCCCGGUGUAGAGGUGAAAUUCGUAGAUAUCGGGAGGAACACCGGUGGCGAAGGCGGCGACCUGGGGUAGAUACUGACGCUGAGGUGCGAAAGCGUGGGGAGCAAACAGG
rnacentral:rRNA from 1 species